GGGCGGAGCGCGUCCCGCAGCCGGCUGGUCCCUGUCGCUGCCCCUGCGCUCGUCCCAGCCCACCCGCCCGGUGCGGAGCUCGCCAUGGCGGCCACCGACCUGGAGCGCUUCUCGAAUGCAGAGCCAGAGCCCCGGAGCCUCUCCCUGGGCGGCCAUGUGGGUUUCGACAGCCUCCCCGACCAGCUGGUCAGCAAGUCGGUCACUCAGGGCUUCAGCUUCAACAUCCUCUGUGUGGGGGAGACCGGCAUUGGCAAAUCCACACUGAUGAACACACUCUUCAACACGACCUUCGAGACUGAGGAAGCCAGUCACCAUGAGGCAUGCGUACACCUGCGGCCCCAGACCUACGACCUCCAGGAGAGCAACGUGCAGCUCAAGCUGACCAUUGUGGAUGCCGUGGGCUUUGGGGAUCAGAUCAAUAAGGAUGAGAGGCAAGAGGCGGGAAGGGCGGCCCCACCCAGCCUCCUCCCACCCCACCUACAUUGGCCCCCAUACCAGUAGCCCAGCCCUCACACUGCAGGGGGCCAGGGAGGGCCUCUUGGGGAAUAUCUGAGGCUCUGUGGUCACCAACAGACCAGUUACUCCUUUAGGUGUCUGGAGAAGGGGUCAGCUGCCUGUAUCCAGUCAGGGAUCUCAGGCAGAAGCUGUUCCCAGAAAGAAAAGGCCAGGGGGCAGCCUGGCUUGGCCCCGAGCC
rnacentral:sRNA from 1 species